UACAGAGGGUGCGAGCGUUGUCCGGAAUCACUGGGCGUAAAGGGCGCGUAGGCGGUUUGCUAAGCGUGCGGUGAAAGCUCGGAGCUCAACUCCGCGUCGGCCGUGCGAACUGGUGAACUGGAGCACUGUAGAGGCAGGUGGAAUUCCGGGUGUAGCGGUGGAAUGCGUAGAGAUCCGGAAGAACACCGGUGGCGAAGGCGGCCUGCUGGGCAGUAGCUGACGCUGAGGCGCGACAGCGUGGGGAGCAAACAGG
rnacentral:rRNA from 1 species